rnacentral:rRNA from 1 species
AAUCAACGCUGGCGGCGUGCCUAACACAUGCAAGCCGCACGAGAAAGGGAGUUCGCUCCUGAGUAAAGUGGCGCACGGGUGAGUAACACGUGAAUCAUCUACCUCUGAAUGGGGAAUAACUGAGAGAAAUCUUAGCUAAUACCGCAUAAUACCUACGGUCAAAGCAGCAAUGCGUUUGGAGAGGAGUUCGCGGUCGAUUAGUUAGUUGGCGGGGUAAUGGCCCACCAAGACGAUGAUCGAUAUCCGGCCUGAGAGGGCGCACGGACACACUGGAACUGAAACACGGUCCAGACUCCUACGGGAGGCAGCAGU